rnacentral:rRNA from 1 species
CCAGCAGCCGCGGUAAUUCCAGCUCCAAUAGCGUAUAUUAAUGUUGUUGCAGUUAAAAAGCUCGUAGUUGGAUUUUUGUACUGCGCAGCUCGGUCCGGCGCACUGCGUUGUGACUGUGGCUGGAGUAGUGCAUCCUUGCGGAGACUGUUUGUGCCAUUAAUUUGGUGCACUCAGGAACCGCAUCGUUUACUGUGAAAAAAUUAGAGUGUUCAAAGCAGGCUUAUGCCCGAAUACAUUAGCAUGGAAUAAUAAGAUAGGACUUUGGUUCUAUUUUGUUGGUUGGAGGCCAAGGUAAUGAUUAAUAGGGAUAGUUGGGGGUAUUCAUAUUUAAUUGUCAGAGGUGAAAUUCUUGGAUUUAUGAAAGAUGAACUCAGGCGAAAGCAUUUACCAAGGAUGUUUUCAUUAAUCAAG